UGUGUACUCUCUCCGUUCCAAAAUACUUGAUUUCUAUUUGUCCAAAAUUGGAUGUACCUAUAUACUAAAACAUGUCUAGAUACAUCUAUAUUUUGACAAAUAGAAGGCAUGUAUUGUGGAACGGAGGGAGUAGAAU
rfam:Triticum aestivum genome assembly, contig: Triticum_aestivum_CS42_TGACv1_scaffold_577172_7BL